CUCUGUACGCGUGUCCAUUGAGCUUGGUAUUGUCGAACGCGACGUCUUGGUACGGGCGGCUGGAAGAAAGAAAACUUACAGGCAUCAUGCUGAAGCUUUGCGUUUUGGUGCUGGCAUCGGUCUCUUGCGCGUCGUCGACUGGCGUCAGUGACGCGAACGCUUAUGUGGACACCAUUUUGAGGGAGAAGAUGCCGCUCCUGGUGAGGGGAUCGCCGCAGCUUGCGACCAUCGGAGACUUCAGUUUCAAGGUGUCAAAGGACCGCAUCAUCAACCAUGACCUGGAGGUGAACAUGACACGUGGCGAGAUCCAUGGCCUCGAUAACGCCCUGCAGCGGUCGGGUGAUUGCCUUGCUCCCGAAGUGUAUGAAGGAAGACCUUAAUCUAUUGCUACCUGACCGUGCAGGGACUCAACGUCACCUUCACUGCGUUGGCAAAAGAAGACACCCUUGCCACUGUUUGGACGACCACUUGGGUGAAUGUAGCUGUUAGGAACACCACUGCUCAUUUUGAAGCCAGCGCUCCUCAGGGUCGGAACGGAACUCUGCGCACGUUCAUCAUCGAUCACAUCCGGCUCCACGUGACUUACGACAGCAACCUGAGCUUUCACGAACGCCGCAGCCGGAAGUUCAAGGAGGAGAUAUAUACCAGGGUCGAGUAUGAGCUAAUGCAAAUUUUCCAGUUCGACUACAAAGAUCUGCUGAGCCGUGCUGUAGAGUCCGUUACAUUCCCGAGGCUCUAACCGGAGUUUGAGUACGGUGUGCCAGAUUGUUACACUGACGAAAGUGGUCGGCCUUGAAUGAGCCAUUCCAUGAAGCGAGCAAUCCCAUUGCCCCACGUAAUCAUGCUGUUUUAAUCAUUUACAUGAAACUAAGGGCUGUUUUCUCGCUUCUGAAGGAAUCUGUACUACCUUCUUUACUAUAAUGAUCAGUUUUCCCAUGGAGGUCAAGCACAGUUCCUUACUUGUGCGAUAAAGCUACUUGCAGCGUUAUAAUUACAAGCCCACUCUUGUGUAUAUGCUAAAUAAACAAAAGAGUCUCUGUGUUUGUAUGUUCCCAAAAUAAUGAAAAAUAUAUUCUC